rnacentral:misc_RNA from 1 species
UAAAUGAAGAAAUGACAUUUAGCAAGACCCAAAAUAUCUGAAGGAAAACCAAUUUCAGUAUCAAUGAGUAGGACUAUGCUUAAUUAGUCAGACUUCAUAAAAAUAAUAAACAAUAAGCAAACUACAGCUUUAGAAAACAUCAUAGCUAUACAAACUACGUGCAAUCCCACUAAUGAUAUCUCAAUAGUGUUCUUUAUGUCCAUUCAAUUAAGCAUAUCUUAAUUUCAUUCACACAUUGUAGCAACACCUUGAAAAUAAUAAUCAUCUAAAUUUACAAGUCAUUCCGAACCUCAAACUACAAACAACAUUAGCUUCAUCAAAAGUUUCAAUAAUACUAACAGUAAUAAUAAUCAGAAAUCAGGUUAAGAUUAAUAAUCAAAUUCAAGCCAAGAAAAAAUGUCGACCAUUUGCUCAAACUAGAUUCCCUCAAACAAUCAGUAAUGCUAAUGCAAUACAAAACCCUAAUUAAACACCGAAACUACACAAUCCAGCAUCAGUCAAUACAGAAACCAAGAAUAACAUUGCAAACACCAUUUGGCGAUUAUAAUAAAAAUUCCACAACAAAAGCAAAAAGAAAAUAGAUAAAGGCGAUGAUCAGUACAUUACCUCAAGCUUUUGCGCAGCGACAGCUUCUGUGACACCAGUGAUGCUUAUAAAUGUGUCGAUUGCUUCUUGAUUAGGCCUUGCCAUAUUAAUAGAGAAUUGAGAGAGCUAGUGAUAAAUUGUCGGUAUUGCAGUUUUGAGAGAGUUUCUUUUGUAGAAAGAGAAAAGAGAGAUAUUUGGUAUGGAAUCCGAUCACAAGCUUUUAUAUAUGGUGAAGGAGCUUGGAGCUUCUCCAAUAUUCCACGCUUCCUGCCAUGGCCUAAAUGGCUUUGACGGAUUGGAAAGAAAAUGGGCUCAAAUAGGCAUGAC